AAUGUGCUGCAAUAUCUCUGC
rnacentral:miRNA from 1 species